UUUGCGACGAUUGUGACUUAUAUGCAUUGUCUCACCAUCUCGCAAAAACGAGAGGAUUUGCGAUGAUUUAAUCGGAAAAGACUCAUCUACCCUCUGUUGUUUCACGAGAGAACUGUUCUUUUGCAUUGCCAUGUGAUUCUGCAUUGCCAUGCGAUGAUGAAGACGAAGGAGGAGGCCGAUGACGCCNGCNGAAGAAGAAGACGAAGCUUGAUGAUGAAGAUGGCGUGAAUGUGGUGCAGGUAUCCGGAUACACUGUUGCUGUAUCCGGAUACAGUUUUGUUCAGAAAAUGGAAAAGAAGCGUAUCCAGAUACAGUUUUGUUCAGAAAAUGGAAAAGAAGCG
rnacentral:lncRNA from 1 species